GGUCACAUUCAAUUCUCACACAACCUGUGGCUGGUUUACAGAUGAUGGCCCAAGGUGUACCACCAGCCAGUAAGGCCCAGGUAUAUAGACAGCCAAACCUGGUCUAUUCUGGGUAGCCCAGUGCCUUCUUCAGGGUGGGAAGCAUAGCACCUGGCAGGUGAAGGUCAUCAAGGGUCACCCCCUGCCUGGAGCUGCCUCCUGCACUCUGUGAGCCCUCUCCUGUUUCAGCCAUCCCGUGGGUCUCUACCAAAAAGAGUGGGGGCGCUUAGCUCCCUCUUGUGGUCGCAUUAGUCAGGAGACACUCCUGCUUGCAGGAGGCCAUGCCUUUCAGGAACGCUGAGAAAAUCACCGCGAUGGACAAGGUUUGGCCCAUCUAAGAGGAAUCCCGCUCUCCGGCAUAUCGGCAUAUCGAUGGCACUCCAUACAAGUCUGAUCAAUCACUGAAUGAAACAGACACCCGGAAGCAGAGAAUCCCAUCUAGUGCAGCACAUCACAUCCAGUGUCAUGUCUCCUGGGGCUCCUGUUGGCUGUCACAAUUUCUCAGACUUCCCUUGUUUGUGAUUACACUGAUGGUUUUAAGAAGUACUGUGUGGAAGUUGUGGGUUGAACCAGAAGUUCCAUGGAUCCAGGCAGGUCAGACCCUGACCAUAACUGCGGGAUUCUGGAGGUUUUGCUAGAGCUGGCCCGUCCACCCCAACCAAGGAGAGGGCAUAUAAGUUGAGCACAAGCAGAGUCAGGGAGAGAGAGAGAACCUCAAGCAGGCCCUGCACUGUGAGUGCAGAGCCCGAUGCAGGGCUCAAACUCACGAACUGUGAGAUCACGACCUGAGCCAAAACCAGGAGUUGGAUGCUUAACCAGGUGUGAUGGAGUCCCCAUUUCCCUCUGUAUCUGGAUAUUUUGUGGCCAUUCUUUGCUUCCAGAUAGUAGUACUCGCUUCAGAAAGAGCAUCAAAAAAACCUGUGGCCAUAUUUAAUCCACCCCAAAUGGACACUGAGAAAAGUAACUGGAAUAUUCGAUAAGUGAAGACCGAUUAUUGUUCAGCAUAGCAGUCCACACGCCGCCUCUGGACAGUGGUCCCUUCGUUAAGUAUGGACAGAGCGUCUACUACGUUCUGGCACUAUCAUCCCUGGAGACGAUAAUGAGAAUUUUUAAAAGGGAAUAAAACAGAGACUCUGCAUGGCUCACGUGUUAGUGGGCCAUGAGAGGACAUAAGGACAGGAAUUAAAAAUAUCAGUCGGGGUGCCUGGGUGGCUCAGUCAGUUGGGCAUCCAACUUCAGCUCAGGUCAUGUUCUCGCAGUUCGUGGGCUCGGGCCUCACGUCGGGCUCUGUGCUGGCAGCUCGGAGCCUGGGGCCUGCUUCGGUUUCUGUGUCUCCCUCUCUCUCUGCCCCUCCCCCAAUUGUCUCCUCUCUCUCUCUCUCUCUCAAAAAUAAAUAAGCAUUAAAAAAAUAUAAUGUGGUGAUAUGUCUUAUGAAGACAGUUUAGGUAUAACUAGGGGAAAUGUUGAAUGGAUGGUCAUCAACAUUUUCUCCAAGAAACUGACAUUUAAGCUGGGACCUGAGAGACCAAGGAGAAGGCAGUGAUGACGGGAGCGUCGGAGAGAAUUGUGCUGCUGUCUGAGAGCAAACUUCCAAAGUCAGGAAAGGCUUGGCAUCAAGAACCAGGAAGAAGGUUGAUGGUGCCAGUGCAGAGGGAUCUAGGUGAAGCUUCCAGGUGGUCCCAGCAGGCAGACAGGCUGAGUUCAGCUGCCAGCUUCCCCACCACAGUGAGCAGAG